rnacentral:ncRNA from 1 species
CAGGUUUAAUUGAUAGAUUGAGAGUUCUUUCUUGAUUUUAUGAGAGGUGGUGCAUGGUUGUUCUUGGUGGAGUGAUUUGUCUGGUUAAUUUUGAUAACGAACAAGACUUCAACCUGAUAGCUAACUAUGUGGAGGUUCCCUUUCACGACCAACUUCUUAGAGGGACUAUGGUCGUUUAGGCCAUGGAAGUGUGGAGCCUGCGACUUAAUUUAUGCAAGGAUCAAGAG